rnacentral:rRNA from 1 species
CAGCAGCCGCGGUAAAACAGAGGGUGCGAGCGUUAAUCGGAUUUACUGGGCGUAAAGCGUGCGUAGGCGGCUUUUUAAGUCGGAUGUGAAAUCCCUGAGCUUAACUUAGGAAUUGCAUUCGAUACUGGGAAGCUAGAGUAUGGGAGAGGAUGGUAGAAUUCCAGGUGUAGCGGUGAAAUGCGUAGAGAUCUGGAGGAAUACCGAUGGCGAAGGCAGCCAUCUGGCCUAAUACUGACGCUGAGGUACGAAAGCAUGGGGAGCAAACAGGAUUAGAUACCCCCGUAGUCCUUGUCUCUUAUAC